CCCAUGGUUGUCUCAACACACCUCUAACCACCUCAAAACAUUAUUGUGGCCUUUUUUCAUUGAUUUAGUAUAUAGUAUUUAUUAUAGACAAAGUCUAUCUCAAUUGGGCAUCAACAAUUCUUCCUAUGAAAGGAACAAGGAGUGCAAAUUAAAGAAUAGAAAAUUAAUAGAUAUAUCCUAUAUGGAUGUCGUUCACUAUGCAAGUCUUUUCUAGGGG
rnacentral:lncRNA from 1 species